ACAAGCGAUGAACUGCCCAGCCUACCUCACAACAACAGCCUGAGGUCAAAGGACAUUUCACAGUCCAGGGAUGGGAAAGACAGUGAGCAUCCAACCCCCAGUACACACAUUAUAAUGUUCCAGUCACUAACCUCAUGCAGCCCUGGAGAACCUGUUGACUGACUGAGCUGGCUUGGCCAGCUGGCACAGAAUGGAGACUAUAAAUAA